GUUCCUGUGUGUCCAACUUGUCUGGUUACAACUACAUGUCUGUUCAUCCACCUAUUGUAAAGCGCUGUGGAAUUUGACGGCGCUAUAUAAAUAUCAUAAUAAUAAUAAUGUCCAGAUGGCUUCUCCCUCACUCUCCACACACAAAGAUAUGUCGCUAUGUUUAUAUGCAAUGACACAGAGUGCCAUUUGCCUUAAGGUGAUACACUCACCUCUCUGGUCUCUGCGGGGAAAAAAAAGUGGUAUGUCUGCUGAACUGUGUUGCUGGGGGAGAAGAUGUACAAUGCAUUUGCAAAGAGAAUUCAGACAAUAGUAUUUCACUUUUUUCUUUUUUUCAGUAUUAUGCUACAAUUGUUUACAUUUUUUACAUCAAUCUACACUCAGUAUGCCAUAAUAAUAAUGCAAAAAACAGAUGGGAAAAAAAACAACAACUUGGCAAAUGUAUUAAAGGACCACUAUAGUGCCAGGAAAACAUACUCGUUUUCCUGGCACUAUAGUGCCCUGAGGGUGCCCCCAC